AACGAACGCUGGCGGCAGGCUUAACACAUGCAAGUCGAACGCCCCGCAAGGGGAGUGGCAGACGGGUGAGUAACGCGUGGGAAUCUACCGUGCCCUGCGGAAUAGCUCCGGGAAACUGGAAUUAAUACCGCAUACGCCCUACGGGGGAAAGAUUUAUCGGGGGUAUGAUGAGCCCGCGUUGGAUUAGCUAGUUGGUGGGG
rnacentral:rRNA from 1 species